AUACCAACCUGAUAGGAGAGAUACUGUGAUCAUUGAGGUGGUAUUCUCAGGGCGAGGCCUACCCAUUGCACUUCAGGGGGGAGGUUGACCCUUGCGAUUUCCCCAAAAUGUGGGAAAGUCGACCAUGAAAUUUGUAGAAUGCAGGAGACGAUUGACCGGC
rnacentral:snRNA from 1 species